rnacentral:rRNA from 1 species
GACGUAGGGCGCAAGCGUUGUCCGGAUUUAUUGGGCGUAAAGAGCGCGCAGGCGGUCGGAUAAGUCGAAUGUGAAAGCCCCCGGCUCAACUGGGGAGGGUCAUUCGAUACUGUUCGACUCGAAGGCAGGAGAGGGAAGUGGAAUUCCCGGUGUAGUGGUGAAAUGCGUAGAUAUCGGGAGGAACACCAGUGGCGAAGGCGACUACCUGGCCUGUUCUUGACGCUGAGGCGCGAAAGCUAGGGGAGCAAACGGG